rnacentral:rRNA from 5 species
UGACUGGGGCGGUCUCCUCCUAAAGAGUAACGGAGGAGCACGAAGGUUGGCUAAUCCUGGUCGGACAUCAGGAGGUUAGUGCAAUGGCAUAAGCCAGCUUGACUGCGAGCGUGACGGCGCGAGCAGGUGCGAAAGCAGGUCAUAGUGAUCCGGUGGUUCUGAAUGGAAGGGCCAUCGCUCAACGGAUAAAAGGUACUCCGGGGAUAACAGGCUGAUACCGCCCAAGAGUUCAUAUCGACGGCGGUGUUUGGCACCUCGAUGUCGGCUCAUCACAUCCUGGGGCUGAAGUAGGUCCCAAGGGUAUGGCUGUUCGCCAUUUAAAGUGGUACGCGAGCUGGGUUUAGAACGUCGUGAGACAGUUCGGUCCCUAUCUGCCGUGGGCGCUGGAGAACUGAGGGGGGCUGCUCCUAGUACGAGAGGACCGGAGUGGACGCAUCACUGGUGUUCGGGUUGUCAUGCCAAUGGCACUGCCCGGUAGCUAAAUGCGGAAGAGAUAAGUGCUGAAAGCAUCUAAGCACGAAACUUGCCCCGAGAUGAGUUCUCCCUGAGACUUAGAGUCUCCUGAAGGAACGUUGAAGACGACGACGUUGAUAGGCCGGGUGUGUAAGCGCAGCGAUGCGUUGAGCUAACCGGUACUAAUGAACCGUGAGGCUUAACCUUACAACGCCGAAG